rnacentral:miRNA from 1 species
UUGGGAGGUUGAAGCAGGAGGAUCACUUGAGCCCAGGAGUUUGAGACCAGCCUGGGCAACAAAGUGAGACCUCCAUCUCUACAAAAA